CACAGCCAAUUACCAAACAGAAUUAACCAUUUUCCAAUCCAGAAUCAUGAACCAUAAGCAACUGAAACAACUAAGUAAAUUUAACAAGACUGCACAGUUGGAAUAGUUCCUAAACAUUAAGAUGAGCGUUAAUGAUAGACAAAAAUCCAUAAACCUUACUUGUUAUCAUGCCUAUCCACCAAAGUGGCUCCAACAAGUAAGAAUAACCUCCAACGCCUGUGCAAAAGGUAAA